rnacentral:tRNA from 1 species
GCCCCGAUAGCCCAGCGGUAGAGGCAGUGGUCUCAAACACCAUCCAGCGUGGGUUCGAAUCCCACUCGGGGUACCU